CCUACGGGUGGCAGCAGUGAGGAAUAAUGGUCAAUGGACGCAAGUCUGAACCAGCCAUGCCGCGUGCAGGAAGAAGGCUCUAUGAGUUGUAAACUGCUUUUGUACGAGGGUAAACUAAGAUACGCGUAUCUGUAUGAAAGUAUAGUACGAAUAAGGAUCGGCUAACUCCGUGACAUCAGCCGCGGUAAUACGGAGGAUUCAAGCGUUAUCCGGAUUUGUUGGGUUUAAAGGGUGCGUAGGCGGUCGGAUAAGUUAGCGGUGAAAUCCCGGAGCUCAACUUCGGAAUUGCCGCUGAUACUGUUCGGCUAGAGAGUAGGUGCGGUAGGCGGAAUGUAUGGUGUAGCGGUGAAAUGCUUAGAGAUCAUACAGAACACCGAUUGCGAAGGCAGCUUACCAAACUUCUUCUGACGUUGAGGCACGAAAGCGUGGGGAGCAAACAGGAUUAGAUACCCGGGUAGUC
rnacentral:rRNA from 1 species